rnacentral:rRNA from 1 species
GAUGAACGCUAGCGGCAGGCUUAACACAUGCAAGUCGAGGGGUAUUGGUUUUCGGACCAAGAGACCGGCGCACGGGUGCGUAACGCGUAUGCAAUCUACCUUUUGCAGAGGGAUAGCCCAGAGAAAUUUGGAUUAAUACCUCAUAGUAUAGUACUUUGGCAUCAAGGAACUAUUAAAGUCACAACGGCAAAAGAUGAGCAUGCGUCCCAUUAGCUAGUUGGUAAGGUAACGGCUUACCAAGGCUACGAUGGGUAGGGGUCCUGAGAGGGAGAUCCCCCACACUGGUACUGAGACACGGACCAGACUCCUACGGGAGGCAGCAGUGAGGAAUAUUGGACAAUGGGCGCAAGCCUGAUCCAGCCAUGCCGCGUGCAGGAUGACGGUCCUAUGGAUUGUAAACUGCUUUUAUACAGGAAGAAACACUCCGACGUGUCGGAGCUUGACGGUACUGUAAGAAUAAGGAUCGGCUAACUCCGUGCC